GGCUAUGGUUUAGAAAUCUUACCCAAGAUGCCUUCCUGUGUGCAUUUUGUGGUAUGAUAUCUUUGUCUGGAAGUAGUUGUCAACAGAGUACAAUUUGAAGGGUGAAGGAAAGAUGCCUUGCCCUGACACAGUCUUUUGCCCAGGGAGAGAGGGAGCAAGAACUGAGUAAGUACCCCCUAUGUGCCAGACACUGUGCUAAGCACAUUGUAUUAGUGGGGGGAACUUAGAAGAGGAGGAACCAAAGUUCAGCUACUUGGGGAUUGAAUACAAUGUGACACUUCAUUUCUUCUUCUCCCUUCCCCAAAGUUGAGCUGUUGACCAAUGGAGUCAUGCUGACUAGACCAAAAGGGGGCUGCUUUCAUUUAAUGAAGAGUACUUUAAGAAAACUGGAAGGUCUGUAAGCCAUAAAAUAAUGACUCUCUAAUGAUGGAAUUUCAAAACACUUCUCUACUCAGCGGAGGAGAUAUUUUUGAUCAGGAAAUUCUAUUUGAUGGUACUUGGAUCUCACCAGGUAGUGAUGUACCUCCCUACCUUCAUCCCCCUCAGAACAGAGAAAGAAAUACCAAGGACAUGCACAGUAAACAGAAAAACAUGAAGAUGCACACAGAAAGAGAUCUACUCACGAGAGGAAGCAGCUUUGCCCCUGAACCAGAAAGGAAUAUUGACUGGAUUCAAGAAAGGACUUCCCAUAACAAGUCCAUCCUUUGGCACCAAAUAUUUUCUAUGUGUAUGCCUUAUUCCCAUCAGAAUCUAAGUGCAAAAUUACUCUUCCCCAGAACUGUGCAUAUUCUUGUGAAAAAAUGUUUCCUAGGCUCUUUUGGAAGAAAUGUUUUGUUUCAACAACUAUUACUCCACAAUCUUAGUAAAUGCCCUUUCUAAAAGCUAAUCAAGGCUCCUGGCUGAUUGUCAACAGAAAAAGUACUCUGGUAGGGACUCAUUAAUAAUUAUUCUAGAAAUCAAAAUCCUUCAAAGUUACCUCUCACAUCCUGAGAGGAGAAUUAGUCAACAAUUCUCUUGGGACACAAUCUUCAAGUGCUACUGGGGGUUGGGGAAAUAGUCCUGACAAAGGUUUUAUCCUUGCAGUUUUAACAUUUAUUAUAUA